CCUGUACUGAGAGGGAGAAGGUGGAGGAGCCUGUGUGCAUACCCUGCUUCCCCUGCUGUUACACAGAUUCUAAACACAGGUUUGGUUAUUCCUACUAUAUGUUUAUUUUUCCUCUCUGCUUUCUUCCUUUGAAGUACCUGCUUGUGUUCUCAAUGAAGAACAGCUGAGAGAUCAGGAAAAUGGCUUAAGCAUUCAGUGGGCUGGAAGCUGUUUGGAUUUCAAACAGUGCCUGGGAGAGCUCUGCACAGUGCCUUGCUGCACAACCCUCCUUCUGUCACCGGCCGAGGUUGCCGUCCUUUGUUCCCUCCCUGUAACUCUCCAGAGCCUUCAAGGGAGGGAAAAGAAGGAUGAAGGAGGUGACUUUAAUUUCUCUUUUUUAAAUCCCCCCAAGUCCUCCUUUAAAAAGCCACAGCACAGCCCUUAUGGGCCAUCUGCCUUUAUUUCUCUCGUGCUCCUUGGCUUUGUUUGUUCCUCGUUUCCCCUCUGUGCCCCUUUGCAAACCUCGGAUCCUCGGGAGCCAUGAGCAGGACCCAAGUGCCACCCGAAGCUGCAGCUCCCCCUCUACAAUCUGCCAAGGAGGAACUGCCCACAGGACACUCCAGCACAGCCUCUGGAGUUUCUAAAGCCAUUUUUGUUCAGCAAUUCCUGUUGUUGUUGUUCCUGCUGACCUCAGCGGGCUGUAUCUUUUCCAAAUGUUUCUGACGUUUCUCACAGGGUAAUAAUCUAUUAAUGUCACAGACAAGGAUUCUGCUGACUUCAGUUUGGCUUCUGUUUCCCAUUGGAUGGGCUCCUCUCUUUAUGGGGGAAUGCCUCCAGCCAAAAAGAGAGGAAAAAAAACCCCAGCCCUGAGCUAAGUGAAACCAGGCCCGAAGGGAAGCGCGUUGCAGCCGCGUUGCCUCUCGCUGGCUUCUGUUCUGUGCUUGGGGAUGUGCCAGACUCCAGUGCCUCCAUGCUUUUGAUUCCUGUUUAUCCCCGGCAACAUGAUUGUCUAUAAUUAUAUAUAAUCUCCCCCUUGUUUACUCUUCUUCCUCCAGGUCUGAGCACAAGCUCGAUGGCAACUCUCAGCUCCGUCUGCCGGGGCUGCAGCUCCAACGCUCCUCACCAUCCUCCACCUUCUCCUCCAAAGUAACAAAGCCAUUGGAUUUCCUCCCACCCCUUCCCCGCGCUCCCCCUCCCCCUCGCUGGCACCGGGGUUAUUUAUACAGAAUGUGGAAACAAUUUGCAGGAAAGUGAACAAUGUAAGCGGGAGUGAGGGAAGGGAGACAAGUUUGUUGUGCACACUGAGAGCCCCAGUGGUGAAACGCUGCUUUUUGGGGGGCUGAGAGAACAGACUGUUUUCCUUUCUUCCUUCUCCUCUCUUUCACCAUCUCCCUCAGCUCUUUCCAUCUUGCCAGAGUCGGGUCCAAACCAGAGCAACCAGAUCUGAGUGCGUGUUUUGGAGGAGGUUCAGGUUGGAUCCCUCCCUGCAUCCCAGCCCCGUGAGGCGGUGUCUGUGUACUUAAUCCUCUCCGAGGUUCUGCUCUCCAUCGUUGCUGCUCCUGGAUUAGCAUUAAUGAGGAGCAUGUGUGCUCAGAGGUCCCGCUCCAGGCCCCCAGAGCUGCAGCACUGGGUUUAGACACAGCUACUCCGAGGAACAGUUCAGCUGAAACAGAACCAUUCCUGGGAGUGAACGAGGCAGGAACUUUUUGCAAAGUCUAAUUUCAGUCUUUCUCCCCUCACCCACUGAGUAUUAAGUUUUCAGGACAUCCCAGCACCUCGCUGGCUCCACUGUGAGUGUCUGGGAAUCAGGAAGUUUACCUGAGUUCUGCUGGGGCUGAGGAAGCUGAACCAGCACUGACUCGGCACUCAGAGCAGAUCUGGGAUCUUCAGCUGGCACUCUGCACCAUGAAGUCCUCAAAAAGAGGGUCUUUAGAUGAGAACAGAUUUGUAUUCCUCUCUUCCUGCUGCUCACUUACCACCUGAAAUCCUCGGCUGCUCCUUGCAGUUCCCACCACAACGGCGAGCGAUAUCCCGAGCGGAGCGUUGGAGCUCCAGGGAGACUCUGCAGACCCUGUGGAGUGCAGGAGUCACGGAGAACAGAGACCGAUGAAAGAUGGCUCCAGGCUGGGAUUUUGGAGAGUGUCUACAUGGUGUUGUUUUCUUUCACUGCUCCAUUUCUAAAGAUAACUGCUCUGUGUUUGGAGAAGCUGUUCUGUCUUUCCAACCCCUUGACAGCAUGGGCUGCUGAACAAGAACAUAGUGAAGGAAAGCAGCUGAUGAAAGAAAAGCUGUUCCUGUGGCUUCAGAAAAAUUGCUGCUUGUCUUCCCUCCCCCACAACGCUGAAUCCCAGCACCCCAGACUGUCGUGACUGCCGGGGAUUGGUGACAUCUCGAGUGACACGUGUUGGAGCAUCAGAACAGAGUGGGAGCAGCACAGCUUGGCUCCGGGAGCCAAAAAUAGGCAGCGCUUCCCAGAAUGUCCUGGCAGCCUGAGAAGUGGUGGACACCGCAAUGACACCCCAGAGGAGCAGCUGAGUGCUACUGAUUGCUGGAGUCCCCAGAUGCAGGUGACCAGCCCCCUGACCAGCUGGUGGGUACCAGAGCUGGAGAGGGAUGACUGUGUUCCAUAGCCCUUGGGAAGGGUGCCUUGGCCUCCUGUCAGUGAGUGCAGGGUGUUUGGGCUGUGUGUGUGUGUGUGGGAAUGAGGAGCAACUGCCACGUGCCAAGAACGAGGGGAGCGAAGGAUUCCCACCAUAUGAUCCCACAGUGAACUUUUGAUCCAUCAGCUCAUCUGAUCCACCUGAUCCAUCAGCUGGGCCUUUCAGGUAACACACAGAAAAGGGCUGUGCUGCUGUUGGUUCUGAGGUUUGUCUGUAAGGUGUGCUGGGCUCUGCAUUUUCCAGGCAUCCUCUGCUGCUGGUCUAAGGUUGUUUCUUUGGUUUUCCAAACCCAGAGGCAAAUGACUGUUUCUUUGUGCUAAGCAUCAAUUCUCUUCUUUUUUUUUAUCCUUUCUCCUCUCCAUGGUUUUCCUCUCCAUUUUGAAUUCUCUCAGACUGCUGCAGUCUCACUUCCCUGAGACUUACUUCCUGGCACAGACACCAGGAGAAAAUGUGAUGGUGUUUACAGAGCACUGGGACUUGGGAGAUGUGAAAUGUGGACCUGCUGCUCUACCUCUGGUGACUCACAACACCUCUCUGUGGUUCUGCUUUCCUGUCAGGAUAACCUGGACUAAAACCUCUCUAGGGAAAGGAUUUGCUUUCCCUGUGUGAUCCUACGGUGUCUAAUACAACAGGACCCAACCUCAGGUAAGACCUUUAGGCACUCCCAUUAUAUGAAUGAGAACAAGAUUAUUGGUGUCAGUAAUUAACAUUCUUGUGGGAUUGUUGGAAAUGCUUUGGGAUAAACACCACCUGGAAUCCUCGCCUGGCUUAUGUGGUUUCUGAGCUGCAGAGGAGGCUGAUCCUGUUUGCACGAGAGGCCAUGGACCAUCUGUCUCCUCUCACUGGAUGUGCAAAGUCUUUCAGGCCAAAGAUGAGAUGCAGUAGCUCAGGGAGACAUUGGGACACUUGAAAAGUGAGGGCACAUUCUGUGGGGAAGAAGAAUGGAGACUCAGCGGUCAGUGUGUCCCCAGUAAUGAUCUCACCUGAGAACAACACUAAUGGCAACCAGCAAACCAGAAAAAUACCACCCACAGUGUCACUGAAAACACUGUGAACGCCUGUGGCACAGUGUCACCCCAGGACAGGCUUCCAGAGAGGAAUCUCUCCCUGCUUACCUGGAUGGCAAAAAUCCCAUUGACUGCAAUGACAUCAGGAUUUCCCCUUGAGUGUUACCUGGGUUUCUCUCCUUCUGGAGAGAAGAGCCAUAUCCCACAUCAUUAUGCACAUCCUAAUACCAAAUAGAUAAUUCUUUUCCUUUAAACUGUGGAUUGGAUUCCAGUAAACCCUGCAUUUUGGAUUCUAGGUUCCCUCUAUCUAGCUCUGCAAUCCCUAAAUAAACAAACAUUGGAUUAGACCUCAGCAGCUCCCUCCCUCAGACACAGAAGGCUUUAAAAGCAUUUCACACCAACUGCCCUGCUCGUGUUUCAGACUCCGUUAACCACGGAUUCAGGGAGCUCCAUCUCCCAAACUUCCCAGGGAGCUCACCUCAGUGAUUGGAAGGUCUGCCUCCACCUGUGACCCUCUCUGACUCCAGCGAGGAGCUGGAAUUGCUGUUGACAUCAGGAAUGACAGAGGUACGUGCUGGGGUUGGAGGGUUUCUGGCACAAGGCCUGCUAACCCAGAAUUUGCUCGGCAAAGUCCGGAGGGUGACUUUUAACCUCAGAGCAGUUUGCAAAACCACACCUGUGACCAAUAAAUGUGAAAAAUAAAUGAAAAAAAAUAAAUCCAGCCCCUACUGAAUGAUGAAAGCCAGCACACCUCGCUGGGCUCUGGUGCUGGAGUCAGUGUGGAGAUCUAUACAGGAAUAAUUGAACAGGUCAUCGUUGCCAGGAGUUGUCCGUGGACGGAGCUGAUGCCUCACACAUGGGGGAGGCAGCACAGCAGGUUAAACUGAAGGGAUCUCAUAGUUCUAAGUCUUAAACUUAAUGAAGCACAUCUUUAUUUGUGCUGCAGCCCCUUCUUCUCCCCAAAUUGCCUUAACUAGCUGCUAGAGGAUGCCCAGUAAUGGAAAAUUCUCUGGAUAACAAUAAAUUGGUGUAACGACUCAGUGUCACCUCACAUCCUGCUAAGCAAUAGAGAAAUCACGGUGAGAAAAACAGGCACAGCCAGAGUGGCACUGAACAGUGGAAUCCUAAUUCCAUCACCCUUCUUGUGGGCCACAGAUAACCCAGUGCAAUUUACAGCCGCUCUGAAGCGGCUCCAAGUCUCAGCAGGAGUCGGGAAGGCUCAGUGUAGCCUCGGGACUGAGGAGUCACGGAAGAUCAGGGGAGUUGUUGUUCCAUAACCUUGCCUCUGCACCAAAACCGGUGGGCUGGUCUGGAAUGGGAAGCACUCCAAGCAAAACACGACGUUUUAAUCACUGAAAUGAAGGUCCUCCUCUGGAUUUCUCUCUGGAGAACUGUCUGUCUCUGAUGAUCACGCACAGACUGCCAAAGAAGGUUCCCGGCCUCGCUCGUUCUACAGAAUAGACUGUGCUCACCAAGCAAUAACUUUAUUUUCUCCUCGCUGUUCACUGUGUGGCCUGUGCUUUAUUUACAGCACACUAUUCAAAUAUUGUUCUGAAGACAGAUUUAUUCAUUUCCUCCUGAGCUUUUUCACGGGACUCAUCACUAUGGUAUCCAAGUGCUUCACAAACUCUAAUUCACUUUCCCAACGCUGGAGUGAGAACUGGUGUUGUCCUUAUUUUACAGACGAGGAACUCGGGCGCACAGACAGAAUAAUACAAAAAUCUCUUUUCAUUUUAGAGAUCUAAUUAGAAAUACUCGAUGGCCUGAUUUUGUCAGAAAAUAGAACAUGGUGAAGCAUCCAGUUGAGUCAGAACUUGAAUACAUUCUCAGCUAUUGCAGAUUUAUCUGCAAGUGCUCUUCACUUCUGCAGAUCACGCUUUAAAAUGUCAGCCCAGGCACCUGGGCAGUGCUGACUGCACAACUAGUACAGUUCUGGGCAGGCUCUCUUUAAGGACUGAGGCCCUUUUCUGGAGCAGCAGUCACCCCUUCCCACCCACAGUGCUGUGCUUGCUCACUCCACAGUUCCUCUCAGGGUGCAUAACAUACCUACAUCUGAUUUUUACAGCAAAUUAAGUGGAAGUUGUUGAGGCACUUGCCUGGGUUCCCUGGCCUUGGUUCAGUAUCUGAGCCAGGCUUAUCCUUCUGCACUGGCUGCCUUUAUCCCGGUGUUUGAUAACUGGGGAGUGUGUUCCUUUGCAGCCUGACUACCGUUGUUUUAAUAAAUAUGUAUGUCUUUUCAAUCUAGAGAUACCCUUAGAAAGCCCAGCAAUUUAAUCCUGUGCUGACAGGGAUGCAGGCCAUCAGCAAUGUGGAAACACUCCCUGUAUGAGGGAUGUAGUGGUUGGCACACGCUCCAGCACUCAGAGGGGACGAGGAACGUUCUCAGUGUGUGUCAGACACCUGCUGCCAACAGUUUUCCAGUUGCUCUUCAUUCCCAUUCCUAAAUUCUCACCUUUCUGCUCUGCCUCCCUCCCUCAGUCUGUCACUCCCAUUCCUACAUCACUGCCCCUAGUGAAUUCCCUCUUCCCGUUGUCCCUGCUGCGUCCCACACGCAAACUAGGGGUCCUCCUCCCUCAUCCCACUGCAGCUCUCCCAUCCAAUCCCUGUGCCCAGCAAGUUCUUCCUCAGACACUGUAUGGACAGCUCUGGGUGCCCCUAAGCUGCGUGUUCCUCCUCCCGGAAAUUCUCUCCCAUUCCCACUCUGUUUUUAAUUCUUCUCCCAACAGCCUGGCUUCCAGACUCUUCCUUAUGAGCUUUGCUUUAUCCCUCCCUCCAGGCAGACCUGUUUUUCCUUCCAGCUCCUUGUUCCCUUCCACUGCCCUGGAGAACCUGUGUCUCUCCAGACCCUCCAUGCCUGCCAACUUACCUGUCCCAAAUCCAGUUCCCGUCCCCACUGUGUGUUACUGAAGGAGCUUCCUGCUCCAUGUUUCCCCAGAGGACUGGAAGGACAAGUUCCCUGCUCGCCCUUCCUACCUGCAGCCUUGGCAUGGUCCAGAGCAGCAGGGAACUGGAAGUGCAGGUCCAGCUCUGACUCCCACAGCCCUGGGCUGAGAUGAGGAUGGAACUGCAGGGCAACGGAAGCACUGGGAAGCCUCCACAGAGCACCAGUGGGAUUUUCAGGGGGGUUUUCACUGUGGGGCUUGAAGGAACACCUCUGACAAGGUGACUGUUCUCGUCUACAAAUUCGACAAUCCCUGACAGAAAGAACAAAAGGGGAAAAGUUUAUAAUUUAACCUGAGGUACGAACAUCAGAUGCUUAAAUUUCAGCACAGCAGUUGCUCUGGCCCUAUUAAAUGCGACUGAGGGUAGGAUUUUAUGAUGGGAAUUCCUAACCAGCUUAAUAGAAGUUACACUACCAGUCCUGCCUUUUAAU